UACGAAGGUCCCAAGCGUUAUCCGGAUUCAUUGGGUUUAAAGGGAGCGUAGGUGGUCUUCUAAGUCAGUGGUGAAAUCUCUCGGCUUAACUGAGAAAUUGCCAUUGAUACUGGGAGACUUGAGUGUAGUUGCCGUUGGCGGAAUAUGACAUGUAGUGGUGAAAUACAUAGAGAUGUCAUAGAACACCGAUUGCGAAGGCAGCUAACGAAACUAUAACUGACACUGAGGCUCGAAAGUGCGGGGAUCAAACAGG
rnacentral:rRNA from 1 species